CUACGGGUCGCAGCAGUGGGGAAUUUUGGACAAUGGGCGCAAGCCUGAUCCAGCCAUGCCGCGUGAGUGAAGAAGGCCUUCGGGUUGUAAAGCUCUUUCAGGUGGGAAGAAACGGUUAAUGUUAAUAGCAUUGACUACUGACGGUACCACCAGAAGAAGCACCGGCUAACUACGUGCCAGCAGCCGCGGUAAUACGUAGGGUGCGAGCGUUAAUCGGAAUUACUGGGCGUAAAGGGUGCGCAGGCGGUUUUGUAAGCCAGAUGUGAAAUCCCCGGGCUCAACCUGGGAACUGCAUUUGGGACUGCAAGGCUAGAGUACGGCAGAGGGGGGUAGAAUUCCACGUGUAGCAGUGAAAUGCGUAGAUAUGUGGAGGAAUACCGAUGGCGAAGGCAGCCCCCUGGGUCGAUACUGACGCUCAGGCACGAAAGCGUGGGGAGCAAACAGGAUUAGAUACCCCUGUAGUC
rnacentral:rRNA from 1 species